AGGUAUCAGAAGUGCGAAUGCUGACAUAAGUAACGAUAAAGCGGGUGAAAAGCCCGCUCGCCGGAAGACCAAGGGUUCCUGUCCAACGUUAAUCGGGGCAGGGUGAGUCGACCCCUAAGGCGAGGCCGAAAGGCGUAGUCGAUGGGAAACGGGUUAAUAUUCCCGUACUUGGUGUUACUGCGAAGGGGGGACGGAGAAGGCUAUGUUGGCCGGGCGACGGUUGUCCCGGUUUAAGCGUGUAGGUAUGUGUUCCAGGUAAAUCCGGUUCACUUUAACACUGAGGCGUGACGACGAGGCACUACGGUGCUGAAGCAACAAAUGCCCUGCUUCCAGGAAAAGCCUCUAAGCAUCAGGUAACAUCAAAUCGUACCCCAAACCGACACAGGUGGUCAGGUAGAGAAUACCAAGGCGCUUGAGAGAACUCGGGUGAAGGAACUAGGCAAAAUGGUGCCGUAACUUCGGGAGAAGGCACGCUGACACGUAGGUGAAGUGAUUUACUCACGGAGCUGAAGUCAGCCGAAGAUACCAGCUGGCUGCAACUGUUUAUUAAAAACACAGCACUGUGCAAACACGAAAGUGGACGUAUACGGUGUGACGCCUGCCCGGUGCCGGAAGGUUAAUUGAUGGGGUCAGCGCAAGCGAAGCUCCUGAUCGAAGCCCCGGUAAACGGCGGCCGUAACUAUAACGGUCCUAAGGUAGCGAAAUUCCUUGUCGGGUAAGUUCCGACCUGCACGAAUGGCGUAAUGAUGGCCAGGCUGUCUCCACCCGAGACUCAGUGAAAUUGAACUCGCUGUGAAGAUGCAGUGUACCCGCGGCAAGACGGAAAGACCCCGUGAACCUUUACUAUAGCUUGACACUGAACAUUGAGCCUUGAUGUGUAGGAUAGGUGGGAGGCUUUGAAGUGUGGACGCCAGUCUGCAUGGAGCCGACCUUGAAAUACCACCCUUUAAUGUUUGAUGUUCUAACGUGGACCCGUGAUCCGGGUUGCGGACAGUGUCUGGUGGGUAGUUUGACUGGGGCGGUCUCCUCCUAAAGAGUAACGGAGGAGCACGAAGGUUGGCUAAUCCUGGUCGGACAUCAGGAGGUUAGUGCAAUGGCAUAAGCCAGCUUGACUGCGAGCGUGACGGCGCGAGCAGGUGCGAAAGCAGGUCAUAGUGAUCCGGUGGUUCUGAAUGGAAGGGCCAUCGCUCAACGGAUAAAAGGUACUCCGGGGAUAACAGGCUGAUACCGCCCAAGAGUUCAUAUCGACGGCGGUGUUUGGCACCUCGAUGUCGGCUCAUCACAUCCUGGGGCUGAAGUAGGUCCCAAGGGUAUGGCUGUUCGCCAUUUAAAGUGGUACGCGAGCUGGGUUUAGAACGUCGUGAGACAGUUCGGUCCCUAUCUGCCGUGGGCGCUGGAGAACUGAGGGGGGCUGCUCCUAGUACGAGAGGACCGGAGUGGACGCAUCACUGGUGUUCGGGUUGUCAUGCCAAUGGCACUGCCCGGUAGCUAAAUGCGGAAGAGAUAAGUGCUGAAAGCAUCUAAGCACGAAACUUGCCCCGAGAUGAGUUCUCCCUGAGACUUUAGGUCUCCUGAAGGAACGUUGAAGACGACGACGUUGAUAGGCCGGGUGUGUAAGCGCAGCGAUGCGUUGAGCUAACCGGUACUAAUGAACCGUGAGGCUUAACCUU
rnacentral:rRNA from 1 species